rnacentral:rRNA from 1 species
UACGAGAGGCCCAAACGUUAUUCGGAAUUACUGGGCUUAAAGAGUUCGUAGGCGGCGCAGAAAGUAGGGUGUGAAAGCCCUCGGCUCAACCGAGGAAUUGCGCUCUAAACUACUGUGCUUGAGGGACCUAGAGGUGAGCGGAACUGAUGGUGGAGCGGUGAAAUGCGUUGAUAUCAUCAGGAACACCGGAGGCGAAGGCGGCUCACUGGGGGUCUUCUGACGCUGAGGAACGAAAGCCAGGGGAGUGAACGGG